CUACGGGGUGCAGCAGCUGCGAAUAUUUUACAAUGCACGAAAGUGUGAUAAAGCGAACCAAAGUGCUUAUCGUAUAGAUAAGCUUUUCUUCAGGGUAAAAAUCUGGAGGAAUAAGGACUGGGAAAGACCGGUGCCAGCCGCCGCGGUAAUACCGGCAGUUCGAGUGGCAUCCAACUUUAUUGGGUCUAAAACAUCCGUAGCUUGCUAUUUAAGUCUCUUGUGAAAUCCGACGUCUCAAGCGUUGGGCUUGCAGGAGAUACUGAAUAGCUAGAGAUCGGUAGGCGUAAGGAGUACGGCGAAGGUAGCGGUAAAAUGUGUUAAUCUUCGUUGGACUAACAAUUUAGCGAGGGCACCUUACGAGGACGAAUCUGACAGUGAGGGAUGAAGGCCAGGGGCGCAAAACGGAUUAGAUACCCUAGUAGUC
rnacentral:rRNA from 1 species